rnacentral:rRNA from 1 species
UACGUAGGGUGCAAGCGUUGUCCGGAGUUAUUGGGCGUAAAGAGCUCGUAGGCGGUUCGUCACGUCGGCUGUGAAAUCCCGAGGCUCAACCUCGGGUCUGCAGUCGAUACGGGCGGACUGGAGUGCUGCAGGGGAGACUGGAAUUCCUGGUGUAGCGGUGAAAUGCGCAGAUAUCAGGAGGAACACCGGUGGCGAAGGCGGGUCUCUGGGCAGUAACUGACGCUGAGGAGCGAAAGCGUGGGGAGCGAACAGG